UACGAAGGGGGCUAGCGUUGCUCGGAAUCACUGGGUUUAAAGGGUGCGUAGGCGGGCAGGUAAGUCCGUGGUGAAAUCUCUGAGCUUAACUCAGAAACUGCCAUGGAUACUAUCUGUCUUGAAUACCGUGGAGGUCAGUGGAAUAUGUCAUGUAGCGGUGAAAUGCUUAGAUAUGACAUAGAACACCAAUUGCGAAGGCAGCUGGCUACACGAAUAUUGACACUGAGGCACGAAAGCGUGGGGAUCAAACAGG
rnacentral:rRNA from 1 species